UACAGAGGUCCCGAGCGUUGUUCGGAUUCAUUGGGCGUAAAGGGUGCGUAGGCGGCGGGGCAAGUCUGAUGUGAAAUCCCGGGGCUCAACCCCGGAACUGCAUUGGAUACUGCCUUGCUCGAGUACUGGAGAGGGAACUGGAAUUUACGGUGUAGCGGUGAAAUGCGUAGAUAUCGUAAGGAAGACCAGUGGCGAAGGCGGGUCUCUGGACAGUUCCUGACGCUGAGGCACGAAGGCCAGGGGAGCAAACGGG
rnacentral:rRNA from 1 species